GGUCGCCUUGUUUUCAAAAACAUGUCCUUUUGAAUAUAAUUUAAGGUCUAGCCUGCCCACUGAAAAUUUAAAUGGCCGCGGUAUUUUGACCGUGCAAAGGUAGCAUAAUCAUUAGUUUUUUAAUUGAAAGCUGGUAUGAAGGGUUGAAUGAGAAAAGAUCUGUCUCUAAAAAAUUUUUAUUAAAAUUUUAUUUUUAAGUUAAAAAGCUUAAAUUUAAUUAAAAGACGAGAAGACCCUAUAGAGUUUAAUAUAAUUUUAUUAUUAAAUUUUUAGAAUUUUAAUUUUAAUUUAAAUUUUGUAUUUAAUUGGGGUGAUUAAAAAAUUUAAAUAACUUUUUUUAUAUUUAGACAUUUAUAAAUGAUUAAUUGAUCCAUAAAUUAUGAUUAUAAGAUAAAAUUACCUUAGGGAUAACAGCGUAAUUUUUUUUGAGAGUUCUAAUCGAAAAAAAAGAUUUCGACCUCGAUGUUGGAUUAAAAUUAAAUUUUGGUGUAGAAGCUAAAACUUUGGGUCUGUUCGACCCUAAAUU
rnacentral:rRNA from 1 species